GACAAGAAAUAACAAUACAGGGCUUUCGUCUUGUAAUUGGAAUGAUGGUGAUGUACAACCUCACCAGAGUACCAAUUGGAGGGCAAGUCUGGUGCCAGCAGCCGCGGUAAUUCCAGCUCCAAUAGCGUAUAUUAAACUUGUUGCAGUUAAAAAGCUCGUAGUUGUAUUUCAGCCUCGCGUUUUUUCCCUCUUUUCGGGUCUUUUCGCUGGCUUUUUUUUUACUUUGAGAAAAUUAGAGUGUUUCAAGCAGACUUUUGUCUUGAAUACUUCAGCAUGGAAUAAUAGAGUAGGACCUUGGUUCUAUUUUGUUGGUUUCGAGCCUUGGUAAUGGUUAAUAGGAACGGUUGGGGGCA
rnacentral:rRNA from 1 species